CAAAAACAUCUUUUCUUGUUAGUUUUUGAAGUAUGGCCUGCCCGCUGACAUUUGGUGUUGAAGGGCCGCGGUAUUUUGACCGUGCAAAGGUAGCAUAAUCAUUAGUUCUUUAAUUGUGAUCUGGAAUGAAUGGCUUGACGAGGCACGGGCUGUCUUAGUGUUGAAUGUUUUAUUGAAUUUGGUCUUUGAGUUAAAAUUCUUAGAUGUUUUUGUGGGACGAGAAGACCCUAUAGAGUUUGACAUUUGGUUUAUUUACUUGUUUGUUGUUUGUUUAUUUUUGGUGAGUGGGCUUUUUGUUUUGUUGGGGUGAUGGGAGGAAUGUACUUAACUCCUCUUAGUUUUGGUUAUAUUGAUUUAUAAUUGUUUGAUCCAUUUAUUUUGAUUGUAAGACUAAAUUACCUUAGGGAUAACAGCGUUAUCUUCCUUGAGAGUUCUUAUCGGCAGGGGGGUUUGCGACCUCGAUGUUGGAUUAAGGUGAAUUUUUGGUGUAGGGGCUGAAAAUUGUAUUAGGUCUGUUCGACCUUUGGAAUCUUAC
rnacentral:rRNA from 1 species